rnacentral:rRNA from 1 species
GACGAACGCUGGCGGCGUGCUUAGCACAUGCAAGUCGAACGGUGAAGCGCCUUCCUUUUUGGUGGGUGUGGAUGAGUGGCGAACGGGUGAGUAACACGUGAGUAACCUGCCCCCUUCUUCUGGAUAACCGCAUGAAAGUGUGGCUAAUACGGGAUAUUCUGGGUCUGUCGCAUGAUGGGUCUGGGAAAGAUAUUGUUUCGGUGGGGGAUGGGCUCGCGGCCUAUCAGCUUGUUGGUGGGGUGAUGGCCUACCAAGGCGGUGACGGGUAGCCGGCCUGAGAGGGUGGACGGUCACACUGGGACUGAGACACGGCCCAGACUCCUACGGGAGGCAGCAGUGGGGAAUAUUGCACAAUGGGCGCAAGCCUGAUGCAGCGACGCCGCGUGAGGGAUGGAGGCCUUCGGGUUGUGAACCUCUUUCGCCAGUGAAGCAGGCCUGCCUCAUUUGUGGGUGGGUUGACGGUAGCUGGAUAAGAAGCGCCGGCUAACUACGUG